rnacentral:rRNA from 1 species
UGGGGAAUUUUGGACAAUGGGCGAAAGCCUGAUCCAGCAAUGCCGCGUGUGUGAAGAAGGCCUUCGGGUUGUAAAGCACUUUUGUCCGGAAAGAAAUCCUCUGGGUUAAUACCUCGGGGGGAUGACGGUACCGGAAGAAUAAGCACCGGCUAACUACGUGCCAGCAGCCGCGGUAAUACGUAGGGUGCAAGCGUUAAUCGGAAUUACUGGGCGUAAAGCGUGCGCAGGCGGUUUUGUAAGACGGAUGUGAAAUCCCCGGGCUUAACCUGGGAACUGCAUUCGUGACUGCAAGGCUAGAGUAUGGCAGAGGGGGGUAGAAUUCCACGUGUAGCAGUGAAAUGCGUAGAGAUGUGGAGGAAUACCGAUGGCGAAGGCAGCCCCCUGGGCCAAUACUGACGCUCAUGCACGAAAGCGUGGGGAGCAAAGCAGGAUUCAGAUACCCUGGUAGUCCACGCCCUAAACGAUGUCAACUAGUUGUUGGGGAUUCAUUUCCUUAGUAACGUAGCUAACGCGUGAAGUUGACCGCCUGGGG